UGAGACUACAGGCACGUACCACCAGGCCCGGCUAAUUUUUUGCCUUAAAAGAGGGAGUAAAAACAUUGAAAUCUUUAUAGAAGUUUCUGCACAACCAUAGGCAUCCCUGGAUGAGCCCCAGGUGCUGCAAGAGAACAAUGGACACAAUGAGUCCAGCUGGUGUCACACUUGGUCACUCAGUGCUUCUGGGGGUUACGAGACAUUUUUCUCUCCCACCAGCCCUGGGCAACCACUAUUUGACUUUCUGUCUCUAUGAAUUUUACUACCUUCCACUUUCUCCAUUCUUUCAUUGAGAACUCUGGGGGAUCAAAGAAGAACGCCAGCUGCGGUGGACCGCUGAGGAAUGGCCGGAGUCCGGGCGGGAGCGCCGCUUCCCCUCGCCCUCCGCCUCUCCCUUCCCGCGGCCCCUGGAGGCCGAGACCCAUCCGCGUCCCGCGCGCGCUUUCCUCAGAGGCUCGGCCGGGCGCCCUGCUUCGAAGUGGGCCUGAGGGAGCCUCCGCCUCCGCCGCUGCUUUCUUCCCCUUCGUUCUCCAGCGGCUCCUCCAGGCCGCUCCAGAGACCCCGAGGACCCAAGGACGGUGCCGGGCGGAAAGUCUGUGCGAAGCUGGUGAAAA
rnacentral:lncRNA from 1 species